AACGUUUCGCUUGGCUAAGUGCGCACCUCGUCACUGAAACCAGUUAGCAAAAGAAAUUUUUGUUCAAGCUUAAACCGAUAUCUACGUCACUAUUCGAUCAUUUCGAAUGCAAAUUAUUCCCAGAUUAAUAAACUAGGUCGCCAUCCGUGGCGCUGCCGCCGGGCUGCGGACCCGUACUUUCGACGGAAAAUAUCGGGACCAUUUUCAUAAAUCAUUUAUGAUACACUGUUAAAACACUCCAACGCUUUCAAUCGCGCAUACCCAAAACAAAACUCAUAAAGUGAAAGUUCAUAUCCUGGCAAGUAAAAAGUGAUAAAUGUUAAACAGUCUGAAGUGAUAGUCUGGAGUUUGAUUACCAGGUGAAGAAGAUUAUGUAUAGGAUGUACAAAGUUGGCAACGAAAUCCCCCUUCUAACAACAAUGAAAAAGGGAGUACUCCUAAUUUCUCACUUCCAAUAAUAAACAUACUCACAUUUUCACCGAAGUCUCCAACGCCGCAUUAAAAAUAAUUAAUUAUGAUGCUAACAACUGAACACAUAAUGCAUGGGCAUCCCCACUCGUCGGUCGGGCAAAGUACUCUAUUUGGGUGCUCCACUGCGGGCCAUAGCGGAAUAAAUCAGCUGGGCGGAGUAUAUGUUAAUGGCCGGCCACUGCCCGAUUCAACGCGUCAAAAAAUUGUCGAAUUGGCUCACUCCGGCGCACGUCCUUGUGAUAUUUCAAGAAUACUGCAAGUGUCCAACGGUUGCGUAAGCAAAAUUUUGGGCAGAUAUUAUGAAACAGGAUCGAUAAAACCUCGAGCUAUAGGUGGUUCAAAACCACGAGUAGCUACAACUCCGGUCGUACAAAAAAUUGCAGAUUACAAACGGGAAUGUCCCAGCAUAUUUGCGUGGGAAAUACGAGAUCGACUGCUAUCGGAACAAGUUUGCAAUAGUGAUAACAUUCCAAGUGUUUCAUCUAUUAAUCGAGUCUUACGAAACCUGGCUUCGCAAAAGGAGCAGCAAGCUCAACAACAAAACGAAUCCGUUUAUGAAAAGCUUCGCAUGUUUAAUGGCCAAACGGGCGGAUGGGCAUGGUAUCCAAGCAAUACAACGACGGCACAUUUGACGCUACCACCAGCAGCUUCCGUAGUGACAUCUCCUGCAAAUUUAUCAGGACAGGCCGAUCGGGAUGAUGUUCAAAAAAGAGAAUUACAAUUUUCAAUAGAUGUUUCGCAUACAAACUCUCACGAUAGUACAUCAGAUGGCAACUCUGAACAUAAUUCAUCCGGGGACGAAGACUCUCAAAUGCGGUUGCGCCUAAAAAGGAAGUUACAGCGCAAUCGGACAUCAUUUUCUAAUGAGCAAAUUGACAGUCUCGAAAAAGAAUUUGAAAGAACACAUUAUCCCGAUGUUUUUGCUCGAGAAAGGCUUGCUGAUAAAAUUGGUUUGCCAGAGGCACGUAUUCAGGUUUGGUUUUCAAACCGACGAGCUAAAUGGCGCCGAGAAGAAAAAAUGCGAACUCAGAGAAGAUCGGCCGAUACCGUGGACGGCAGUGGUCGACCCAGCACGGCAAAUAAUCCUUCAGGAACGACUGCGUCUUCCUCCGUCGCAACGUCAAACAACUCGACUCCAGGGAUUGUCAACUCAGCAAUCAACGUCGCGGAACGAGCAUCAUCUGCAUUAAUUAGUAAUAGCCUUCCUGAGGCUUCAAAUGGACCAACUGUUUUGGGUGGUGAAGCUAAUACUACACACACCAGCUCUGAAAGCCCACCACUUCAGCCAGCGGCACCGCGGCUACCCUUAAAUUCUGGAUUCAACACCAUGUACUCAUCUAUCCCACAACCGAUUGCAACGAUGGCUGAAAAUUACAACUCCUCAUUAGGAUCAAUGACCCCGUCAUGCUUACAACAACGCGAUGCCUAUCCUUACAUGUUUCACGAUCCGUUAUCACUAGGAUCUCCCUAUGUGUCAGCCCACCAUCGAAAUACAGCUUGCAACCCCUCAGCGGCGCAUCAACAGCCCCCUCAGCAUGGUGUUUAUACCAAUAGUUCUUCAAUGCCAUCAUCAAACACAGGUGUCAUUUCUGCGGGCGUUUCGGUGCCUGUCCAGAUUUCAACGCAAAAUGUAUCUGACCUAACGGGAAGCAAUUACUGGCCACGUCUUCAGUGAUCGUCAAUCUUUGGCUCACCAUUAGAUCAUUUGUCAAAGGCGACUGCCGCUGCAAUCAUUGCCGCACAAGCAGCUGAGAAAAGCCAUAAACACCGAAAAGGGCAUUCAAUUCCGACCCGUAUUCCACAACUAUUAUAUACUUAUUACCAAACAUAGGGAAGUGCGUGGAAGACGGAUAUAAAGCAAAGUGACUUUAUACAUGAUUUUACAUUUACAUUAAAUUCUUAUAUGUUUUUAGGGUCGUAAGCGUUAUAGUUUCAUCUACUAAUAACGUACAUCUAAACACAUCUCUCACACCCUUUUCCUCUACGAUUAAAUCCCCAAAUUGUUUUGUGCUAAUGUGCUAACCAUAGGACAUUUUGAAUUAAAAAUUACAUUUUUUAAGGUUCAAUACAAAUUACAAAAUGAUGCUAAUUAAACGUCUUAUAAACAUUUUGACGAAAUUAUUAAUUUGAAUUAUUAAGAGAAAUUUAAGUACAAGAACAUUAUCUACUGUACGUAUCUAUUAAAAGAUUAAAGUGUUUCUAAUUUGAUCGGUAUGAAAUAAAGUAAAACCAUUCAUUUGAUAAAAAAAGCGUAAACCUCAUAUAAAUAAAUAAAAAACAUUCCCGUCAAUAUGUUUUAAAAAAUCUAUAUUUUAUUAUAAUAUAUUAAAAUUAUAAGUUAUGUGUACAUGAUUCUUUUAAAAAUGUAAGCUAUUAGUUAUUACUCCACGUGUACACCGUUUGUAAAACAGAAACUUAUAACAACGUUAGAUUGAAUGAAGUGCAACGAACUUGACUACAAUGAAGGAAAUGAGCUAACAUCUCAUCCAAAUAAACACCAACCCCAACAAGCCUUCAGGUUUAUAUCAAUAAUAAUAAAACGUCGUAUAAUUAUAA